UUUUUAACUGGAAUGAGAAAAUAUUAAAAAUAAUUAUUAUAUCAAUUUUUUUUGUUACACAGUCCACAUUCACCGUACAACAAAACAAAUCCCCCAACGACUAUUGCUUUUUCUCUUUUCAUAUAUACCUGUGUACCCCCAUCACCCAUCGCCUUUUGCAAUGGAGGAUGUGGAGCUGUGUGUAUUUGGCAAUAACGAAUACUACCCUUGUAAACGGUAUAUUCAUUAAUAUAAUCCAUCGCAUCAGUAUUUGGAUUUGUAGUUUCGUAAUACCGUCAUUAACUAGCUAGUUACUAUGUGCUCCCUAGUCUAUAAUAACAAUUCUUGACAUCGUAAGCAUUUUGAUUAAUUGAUUGUCUUGUAGCUAGUUUCCUUCACAUUUUGACAUAGAGAGCGCGAAGGGCUCCGUUAAAUGAGUUCCCAACAAAAUGAAUCAAAGGCAGUGCGAGUUUUCGUGGGGUUUAUUGGAAUCUGUCAAUUAAAAAUAAAAUAAAAUAAUAGAAUAACAACAGGAAGGAAAAAAGCUAGCAUGUCAUUUGUUAAGUGUGAGAUUGGUAGUAAAUUGGAGAACUGCUUAUAAACAGUCUUUCCGGUUCGCUAGUAAUGGUGUCCAAAGGGAGUGUAAAUUAAAAGGGUGGAUAAGUCUCAUCUCAGCAUGGAACCUAAAUAAAUUAUUGUUUAGCAGGCAGAAUUGUUAUGAGGGAAGAAG